rnacentral:lncRNA from 1 species
UCCACAAAAAAGCUUUGAAAACAAAUUACAUUAAGGUCUCAGGAUACAAGAUUAAUAUACAAAAACCAAGUGUAUUUUUAUAUAUUAGCAAUGAAUAACUGGAAGCUGAAAUUCACAGUAUCAAAAUAUAUGAAAUAGGAGUAAAUCUGACCACAUCCCUUCAAAAAACUGGAAAGAUUUGUACACAAAACUACAAAAUAUUGUUGAGAAAAAUUAAAGAAAAACUAAAUAAAUUGAGAAAUAUAACAUAGUCAUGGUUUGGAAAAUUCAAUUUUAUUAAGAAGUCAAUUCUUCCCCUGAAAUUAUCUGCAGACUCAAAACAAUCCCGACAGAAAUUCCAGCCAGCUUUUUUGUAGAAUGUGACAAGUUGAUUCUAAAACAGAAAUGCAAAGGACCUAGGACUGGUAAUUGUUGAAGGUAGGUGAUAAAUACAUCACUUGGUAUUUCAUUACAUUUUUCUCUCUACUUUGUAAAUGUUUGAAAUUUUCCAUAGUGAAAAUGUUUGAAUAAAAACUGAGAUUUUCCAGGAACACAUAUAAAUACAAAAUAUCCUUCCUUUAAAUUUUUCAUUACAUUACAAAAAUGGUUUCCUCUUUCACACUACCUUAAGUCUAACUCCCUGGCUUGGUUUCCCAGGCCCUAUAACCAGUCCUCUCUGCUUCCUGUUCCUCUAUGACAGGGGUCAACAAACCACAAUCCAGGGCUAAAUCUGACCCAUCACUUGUUUUUUUUCGGCCCAAAAACUAAGAAUGUUUUGAACUUUUAAAUGGUUGGGGAAAAAAAAUCAAAAGACUAUUUUGGGCUGGACACUGGCUCAUGCCUGCAAUCCCAACACUUUCAGUGGCCGAAGAGGGUGGAUAGCUUGAGCCUGGGAAGUCAGGGCUGCAAUAAGCUAUGAUCAGGCUGCUGCCCUCCAGCCUGAGCAACAGAGUGACACUGUCUCAAAAAAAAAGAAAGAAAAAAAGAAAAUGUUAUUGAAACAUAGUCACAUUCAUUCACAUCUGUAGUGGCUGUGGUUACUUUUGCACUACAAUGAUGGAGUUGAUUAGAUGCAACAGAGACCUUAAGGUCUUCAAUGACUAAAACAUUUACUGUCUGGCCCUUUACAGACAGUCUGUCAAUCCCUAAUUUAUUAUAUGCCUUCUUCUCCCUCAGCUAACUAAUUGCCUCACCCCAGGAAUGUUCAUUACUACCUCUUCUUUGUUCAAGCCCCAGCUACUCCUCAAAACCCAAAAUUCCCUUCUUCCCCUUUCCCAAAUCCUAACCAUAUCAGCAGUUUGUGUGGAAGUAGGUAAGCAAAACACCAUUCGUUAUUGUGUAAAGCAAGGCAUUGGAGAUGCGGUCCCUACAUGUACAAGGGGAGGCUGAUUACCCCCCGAUUCAUUUCCAAUUUCUCAAAGCAGGUUGGCAGGCUAGCACCUAGGAAGGAGAGAGCGAGCAGAUGAUGCAGACAGAGCACUGAGAAACUCCUCAGUAACUCAUGAGAGUUCAUGUGUCAGGCCCCUUGUCUGCUAUGUCAUCCUUUAGACAUCAAUUCAAGACAGCAAAAUUCAAAAAAGAAAUGAGGAAGAAAAAGGUGAUGAGGGGCAGAAGGAAAAGAGAAGAGAACUUGUCACUUCACAAUGUAGAGACAGUCACAAACUGUGGUGAAUGAAAAACUAUUCCAUUCACCUGGGCAUGGUGGCUCACACCUGUAAUCCCAGCACUUUGGGAGGCUGAGGCAGGGAGAUAACUUGAGGUCAGAAGUUCAAGACCAG